UCUCCCUUCUAGGGACACUGUUUGGUGCAGAGGAUAAUACGGCAUCAUGCUUCCUCGCAGGAAGCUUUGCAAGCAAGAGAGGGGAACCUGGCCUGGCUGCCCUGCCAGGCAGAAGAGAUGCUGCCAAGCAGCUCCGUUUUCCUGCUUGUAUUUCAGGGUAUGUCUUCUGUCUCCACAAGGAAUGGUACCCCAUCUGUUGAAGGGCAACUGAAGAAAAGCAAGGGGAGAUGUGACCUUUAUUUGACUGUCUGAACAGUGACACAGUGAGGGAACAGAAAGAAGACUGCUGAAAUCCUGCUCCUGCAUAACAGAAUAUAAGCAUUACAAUCCCCCACUCAUCUGCAGAUCUGCAGCGAUCACACUUAAAAGUGAAUGUGGCAAGACUGACCCUUGGGCAGUGUCAGGGAUUGAACAGAUCAGCAGAUUUGGCUAUGGAGCAGAGAGACACAGACUGCAAUCCUGCACUCACCCUCCAUCUUAUUUUAUAGCCAGCAAUAAAGACUAACUUGUACUGUG